rnacentral:rRNA from 1 species
GCCAGUAGCGAUAGUACGUUGAAUACACAAGUUUCUAAUAGGUCACUGAAAUCAAGCAACGCUGCGCGUGGUUAGUAUCGGGAUGGAUGACCUUCUGGAUCAUCACGUGCUGAUGUCU